rfam:Staphylococcus sp. HGB0015 genomic scaffold aczIz-supercont1.1, whole genome shotgun sequence.
GAUUGAGUUAGAGGCGCGAUUUUAAAGAGUAAUCCUUGGUUUGUAUUGAUGAUACUGACACCAUAAGAUGAAAGGGAAAGUCGCCGAAAUGAGAAGUGAUCAUCAACACUUCUUGUUGGGCUAGUAUUCGAAAGGAACUAGACUGUCACAACAGUGAUGCGCUACCUAUUAA